rnacentral:lncRNA from 1 species
AUCUGGAGCUGAGUUCAGGAGUGUAAAUUUUGCAGGACAAAUUUACGUUAAAUGUAAGGAAGAAUUUCUGACAUAGAGAAUUAUAAAACAUAAAAAAAAUGGCUUGCCACUGGAGAUGGUAGCAUUUCUGUCUUUAAAAGCCUAUAAAAUAGUGGAGGCUGCCCUUUGCCUGCAGUGGUUUAGAUAUGGUUCUAAAUGGAAGUGGCCUCUUUGGGAAAGUGGUGGACCAGGUGACCUUUCACAGUCUCUCUUAGUCUCUAAAUUUCAUUACUCUCUAAUCCUAUUAAAGAGAUCAAAUACAUGCAAUAAUGCCCACUCAUUCAGAGGUCAAGCUUCAGAAACCUCAGGAGUUGAUAUAUAGCUUUAAACUUAAAAGGGGAAAAAAGAAAGAAAAAGGGAGCUCUCAAGCAUGAAGAAAUAUUAACUAUAAUACUCAGACCAUUAUACCUAUUCUACUGGAAAGAUAGAGCCAUUCUCAGACCUCUUCUAGAGGUAAAAUAAGACAUCAGAUAAGGAUAAUAGUGCAAGAAAGAAACAAAUCUAAAAGAACAGAAGAAUUAAGCUAUUUUUUUAAGGGAUCUGACUCUUCUACAUCUCAAGUCCCUGAAAGCAUUACUACGGUAUACUAUAACUAAAUUAUUAUAUCAUAAUAAUUACCCUAAAUUUGUAUUAAAAAUUUUUAAUUACUUUAACUAUUGACUGUUUAAUAUAUUUAUAAAUACAUAUAUUUGUUUAUAAAAUUUUUAUUUAUAGAAGUUUACAAAAAUUAUCAAAGUUAAAAACUUAAGAACUUUAGGAGUUCCCAUUGUGUCUCAGUGGGUUACAAACCCAACUAGCAUCCAGGAGCAUGUGGGUCUGACCCCUGGCCUUGCUCAUUGGGUUAGGAUUCAGUGUUGCUGUGAGCUGCAUAGUAGGUCACAGAUGUGGCUCAGAUCCCAUGUUGCUAUGGCUGUGGUGUAAGCCAGAAGUCGCAGCUCUGAUUAAACCCCUAGCCUGGGAACUUCCAUUUGCUGCAGGUGCGGUCCAAAAAAAACCAAAAACAAACAAACAAACAAAAAUUUUAAAGGAAUAAAUCUAAGCUAUAUGCCAGGUAAGUGUGUAUAUUUUAUUGCCUAUUAUUUUUAAUAAUAUUUUUAGAAUCCGUUAGUAAGAUAGAAAAAAAUCAGUGUAAUAACAUAGAGGAAAUCUCUCAGCCAAUGUGUGUUGUUUUGGAAAGUGGUAUAGCAGUUGUUUGGGUUAUUCUUACCAUCCACUUUAGAUCUCAGUCCUAUUUAAUUGUAAUGGGUUGUUUUUAGAUACACAUUUCUCACCAACUCAUUCUUCUCUACUUAACCUUUCAAAUAAAUUAUUUAUAUGUCACUUUUCCAAAAGAGUUGAGGUGGCUUAUAGAAAUAGAUAAUUAUGAUACAACAAAAUGUAAAUAAGUAAAUAAUAAAGAAAGAAAGAAGAAAAUUAGGAUGAAAAAAAUAGAAGUGGUAAAGCAAGUGCAACACAGGUAUAAAAUCAGAAUACAAACUAUGCAUUUUUGUUAGAACCUGUUCUAUUGCAAGAAGUAGGCAGAAUUGGCUAUGUUUUCAAAAUUCUUUUUCUUAAUUAUCUAUCAUCAAUUCAGCCUUGCCAUCAGCUCUUCUAAGUUCCUCUCUGCACUGCACAAGAGAAUUUGGAAAUACAUUUCUCAAAAUCUCUUUCCCAUAUUGUCCAGGUUAGAGUAUGCUAAGGAAGAACACAGCAUGCCUGUGGGUUUGGAAAGCAAAAGUAAAAAGAAGCCAUAGUCUAUAGAAGCAGAGGCAGACAUGAGAAUAUAACUGCUUCCAAUGAGGCUUGAGAAUCCACUCCCUUUGCUCCUAUAAACUGUAAUCUUUAGAAGUGACAAACUUUACACAAGCCACAGAUUUUCUGGCAGUUAUACAAAACUCUGACUCUUCAAAUUAUAAUUCUUCAUACUUGGUAAGCAUAGAGUGACUUCUGUUUUUCUGUCCAAAUCCUGGCUGGUGUAGUUUCAUAGAGGCCAACACCGAAAGAAAGCCUACUAGGCAUUUAAUUCACCAUAGCUAUAAAACACGGACAAACCAUUUGUUCAAAAGAAAUCCAGUUUUCACUGUUAUAGAACACUGAAAUAAUUUUUCCUGGAGUUCUCAUAAGGAACAAGUGUUUGACAAGGUUUUUACAAUAUGCAUGAUAGUGCACUUCCUGUGACUGUUUCUUAUAAUGUCCCUCAACACCAGCUGAUGGGCAUAAAUCCAAAAGGCAAUUCUUUACAAGCAACUCUACAAGCGGCUAAAACAAUGCAAAACAAGUAUGCAGUUCUCUGAUGGCCUGGUUAAAUCCAAAUACAAAAUUUAGAACAACCAAAAAGAGUAGAUUUAUAACAUAAACUUAAGGAAAUUUUUACAAUAUCUUCUACUAGAAUAAAAUAUUAGUAGCACUGAGCAAAAAAAUAUGUAAGUAAAUACAGCUUCAUAUACCAGACAAUGAUUUGAAAAACUGGACAAAGUCAGCUUUGCGGUCUUGAUUUCUACAACCACGACCUCACCCUCGAAAUCCAUCCUUUAGGAAUUUAUGAAUAGCUCAGACUCUUUCCUUACUAGCUUGAUUGAACAACUCAAUAAGGAGAAGUUUAUAAUUGGAUUUCAACUUGAAAAUUUCCCAAAUGGUCUCUUUACUAGCCUUGCCAAGUUUUUUCCUCCUAUGUAGCAAUCCUUGCCAAAUAAGGCACUAAAAGAAUAAACCUAAGUAUUGAGCUAAUAAAACUGCUACCCAUUUGUCAGUAAUUUUUGACAAGAAUGAAAUAGGUAUUAAUCUCAGAUAGCUGAAGAACAUCACCAGAUUGAAAGUCUUGCAGUUCACGUCUAUAUUCUCAGCCUCUUUAUCUCUCUUACCAUUUCUACCAUGACAGCAAACAGGCCCUGGAAUAUCUCUGCCGCAUAUUUCAGAUUUAACUGAAGGGGAAAAUGGUUACUUUCUACAUAGUCUAAAUGUUCAAAUUAGGACAAUAGUGUACAAAAAUGACUACUAAUAACAAGUUCUAUGGAUGUGACAUUGAGAAAGGGGAACAAAAUAAAUAAUUUCAUAGGUCUCAAUCAAGUUUUUUAAUAAAUAUAUUUAGGAAGAAUAUUUUCAUGUAGAUGUAGCACCAGUCCUUAAAAAAAUGACCUGCAAGACCCCAGCCACUCUUCCCCAAAAGCUUCAGCUGUCAAACCUAAUAUCAUAUCUGGCAUUCCAGUAAACCAACAUAAUUAUUACUUAUUUAAGCAACUAUUUUUUGAGUAUUCACUGGGUGCUCAGUAUUACUUAAACCUCUGAAGAUAUAGUAGUUAAAAAGCUGACAAAAAUCUCUUGUUCUUGAGGCAUUGAUUAUAUUGGGGGAAGAAAGAUCAAAAAGGUAAAUAAAAUAUGGAUCAUUAAAAUGACAGGUGAUAAGAAGAAAAAGAGAGCCACAAAGGGGGAUAGAAAGUUCAGAAAUUGGAGAAGAGCUUGGGCUUAUCAGACACAACUUAGAAUAGAUUUACAAGGAGAUCCUGCUGAACAGCAUUGAGAACUAUGUCUAGAUACUCAUGUUGCAACAGAACAAAGGGUGGGGGAAAAAAUGUAAUUGUAAUGUAUACAUGUAAGGAUAACCUGACCCCCUUGCUGUACAGUGGGAAAAUAAAAAACAAUAAAAAAAAAAAAAA